rnacentral:rRNA from 1 species
UUUCCUACGGGAGGCAGCAGUGAGGAAUAUUGGUCAAUGGGCGGGAGCCUGAACCAGCCAAGUCGCGUGAGGGACGACGGUCCUAUGGAUUGUAAACCUCUUUUGUCGGGGAACAAAGGCGCCCACGGGUGGGCGGAUGAGUGUACCCGAAGAAAAAGCAUCGGCUAACUCCGUGCCAGCAGCCGCGGUAAUACGGAGGAUGCGAGCGUUAUCCGGAUUUAUUGGGUUUAAAGGGUGCGCAGGCGGGAGAUCAAGUCAGCGGUAAAAUGUCGGGGCUCAACCCCGGCCGGCCGUUGAAACUGGUU